rnacentral:rRNA from 1 species
UACGUAGUGUGCAAGCGUUGUCCGGAAUUAUUGGGCGUAAAGAGCUCGUAGGCGGUCUGUCGCGUCGAAUGUGAAAACCCGGGGCUCAACCCCGGGCCUGCAGUGGGUACGGGCAGACUAGAGUGCGGUAGGGGAGACUGGAAUUCCUGGUGUAGCGGUGAAAUGCGCAGAUAUCAGGAGGAAUACCGAUGGCGAAGGCAGGUCUCUGGGCUAACACUGACGCUCAUGCACGAAAGCGUGGGGAGCAAACAGG